rnacentral:rRNA from 1 species
CGUAGGCGGCUUGCCAAGUCAGGGGUGAAAUCCUGCAGCUUAACUGUAGAAGGGCCUUUGAUACUGGCGAGCUCGAGGGAGGUAGGGGUAUGUGGAACUUCCGGUGGAGCGGUGAAAUGCGUUGAUAUCGGAAGGAACGCCGGUGGCGAAAGCGACGUACUGGACCUCUUCUGACGCUGAGGCGCGAAAGCUAGGGGAAGGCAAACG